UGGGGAAUAUUGGACAAUGGGCGAAAGCCUGAUCCAGCCAUGCCGCGUGUGUGAAGAAGGUCUUCGGAUUGUAAAGCACUUUAAGUCGGGAGGAAGGGCGCUCGGUGAAUACCCAGGCGUCUUGACGUUACCGACAGAAUAAGCACCGGCUAACUUCGUGCCAGCAGCCGCGGUAAUACGAAGGGUGCAAGCGUUAAUCGGAAUUACUGGGCGUAAAGCGCGCGUAGGUGGUUCGGCAAGUUGGAUGUGAAAGCCCCGGGCUCAACCUGGGAACCGCAUCCAAAACUACUGGGCUAGAGUACGGUAGAGGGUGGUGGAAUUUCCUGUGUAGCGGUGAAAUGCGUAGAUAUAGGAAGGAACACCAGUGGCGAAGGCGACCACCUGGACCGAUACUGACACUGAGGUGCGAAAGCGUGGGGAGCAAACAGG
rnacentral:rRNA from 1 species